UAGGGAAUAUUGGUCAAUGGAUGGAAGUCUGAACCAGCCAUGCCGCGUGCAGGAAGAAGGCCUUAUGGGUUGUAAACUGCUUUUGCCAGGGGAUAAAAUAGCUGUGCGCAGCGAAUUGCAGGUACCUGGUGAAUAAGCCACGGCUAACUACGUGCCAGCAGCCGCGGUAAUACGUAGGUGGCAAGCGUUGUCCGGAUUUAUUGGGUUUAAAGGGUGCGUAGGCGGCCCUGUAAGUCAGUGGUGAAAUACUCCAGCUUAACUGGAGGGGUGCCAUUGAUACUGCAGGGCUUGAGUGGAGUAGAAGUAGGCGGAAUUGACGGUGUAGCGGUGAAAUGCUUAGAUAUCGUCAAGAACACCGAUAGUGAAGACAGCUUACUAUGCUUCAACUGACGCUGAGGCA
rnacentral:rRNA from 1 species